CAACCUGCCCGAAAGACCGGGACAACAGCUCGAAAGGGCUGCUAAUACCGGAUGUGUCCGCCUUAUCUCAUGAUUUGGCGAGUAAAUCAUUUAUGGCUUUCGGAGGGGCUUGCGGCCUAUCAGCUAGAUGGCGGUGUAACGGACCACCAUGGCGACGACGGGUAGCUGGUCUGAGAGGAUGGUCAGCCACACUGGGACUGAGACACGGCCCAG
rnacentral:rRNA from 1 species